CAAUCCGCACACUUCUGGUCUGUUGCAAAAAGAGCUUUCCUGAGCUUUUUGCAACAGACCAGAAGUGUGCGGAUUG